UCCUUCCUUGUCUUGGGGAGCAUAAUAUCCAAUGAACGUAUAGUGAGGGUAUUGAUGCUGGCACCAAAAUAUAAACAAACUCCCGCUCGCUGGUGGUCGCUUUCGAACAGCGGCCAUCGGGGCGGAAUUUUUGAACCG